rnacentral:rRNA from 1 species
AGUCGGACGGGAUUGAGGAGCUUGCUUCUCAUGAGAGUGGCGCACGGGUGCGUAACACGUAUGUAACCUACCUUGUUCAGGGGGAUAGCCUCUCGAAAGAGAGAUUAACACCGCAUAAAAUCAAUUUAUGGCAUCAUAGAAUGAUCAAAUAUUUAUAGGAACAAGAUGGGCAUGCGGAACAUUAGCUAGUUGGUAAGGUAACGGCUUACCAAGGCUACGAUGUUUAGGGGAUCUGAGAGGAUGACCCCCCACACUGGUACUGAGACACGGACCAGACUCCUACGGGAGGCAGCAGUAAGGAAUAUUGGUCAAUGGACGCAAGUCUGAACCAGCCAUGCCGCGUGCAGGAAGACGGCCCUACGGGUUGUAAACUGCUUUUGUACCGGAAUAAACCUUUUCACGUGUGAGAAGCUGAAUGUACGGUAAGAAUAAGGAUCGGCUAACUCCGUGCCAGCAGCCGCGGUAAUACGGAGGAUCCAAGCGUUAUCCGGAUUUAUUGGGUUUAAAGGGUGCGUAGGUGGCCUAUUAAGUCAGGGGUGAAAGACGGUAGCUUAACUAUCGCAGUGCCUUUGAUACUGAUGGGCUUGAAUACACUUGAGGUAGGCGGAAUGUGACAAGUAGCGGUGAAAUGCAUAGAUAUGUCACAGAACACCAAUUGCGAAGGCAGCUUACUAAAGUGUUAUUGACACUGAGGCACGAAAGCGUGGGGAUCAAACAGGAUUAGAUACCCUGGUAGUCCACGCCCUAAACGAUGAAUACUCGAUGUUGGCGAUAUACGGUCAGCGUCUAAGCGAAAGCGUUAAGUAUUCCACCUGGGG